AUUGAACGCUGGCGGCAGGCCUAACACAUGCAAGUCGAACGAGUGGCGGACGGGUGAGUUAUGUCUGGGACACUGCCUGCUGGAGGGGGAUCACUACUGGAAACGGUAGCUAAUACCGCAUACCAUCGGAUGUGCCCAGUUGGGCUUAGCUUGUAGUUGGGGUAAAGGCUCACCUAGGCGACGAUCACUAGCUGGUCUGAGAGGAUGACCAUCCAAACUGGAACUGAGAAACGGUCCAGACUCCUACGGGAGGCAUCAGUGGUGAACAUUGGACAAUGGUCGCAAGCCUGAUUCAGCCAUGCCGGGUGUAUGAAGAAGGGCUUCGGGUGGUAAAGUACUUUCAGCGGGGAGGCGGUACCAGCAGAAGAAGCACCGGCUAACUCCGUGCCAGCAGCCGCGGUAAUUC
rnacentral:rRNA from 1 species